UUACGGUCAUAACACGGAAACACUAGUUCUCGUGCGAUCACAUAAGUUAAGCAACGUCGAGCCUGGUCAGUACCUAGAUAGGUGACCCCUUGGAAAUCCCAUGGGUUGUAAG